rnacentral:rRNA from 1 species
AUUGAACGCUGGCGGCAGGCCUAACACAUGCAAGUCGCGCGAGCGGCGGACGGGUGAGUAAUGUCUGGGAAACUGCCUGAUGGAGGGGGAUAACUACUGGAAACGGUAGCUAAUACCGCAUACCAUCAGAUGUGCCCAGUUGGGAUUCGCUAGUAGGUGGGGUAACGGCUCACCUAGGCGACGAUACCUAGCUGGGCUGAGAGGAUGACCAGCCACACGGGAACGUAGAACCGGUCCAGAAUCCUACGGGAGGCAGCAGUGGGGAAUAUUGCACAAUUGGCGCAAGCCUGAUGCAGCCAUGCCGCGUGUGUGAAGAAGGCCUUCGGGUUGUAAAGCACGUUCAGCGGGGAGGCGUUACCCGCAGAAGAAGCACCGGCUAACUCCGUGCCAGCAGCCGCGGUAAUUC